rnacentral:tRNA from 1 species
GCCUGGGUGGCUCAGUCGGUUAAGCGUCCGACUUUGGCUCAGAUCACGAUCUCGCGGUCCGUGGGUUCGAGCCCCGCGUCGGGCU